GUGUUGUUGGGUAGGGGAGCGUUCUGUAAGCCUGCGAAGGUGUACUGUGAGGUAUGCUGGAGGUAUCAGAAGUGCGAAUGCUGACAUAAGUAACGAUAAUGCGGGUGAAAAACCCGCACGCCGGAAGACCAAGGGUUCCUGUCCAACGUUAAUCGGGGCAGGGUGAGUCGACCCCUAAGGCGAGGCUGAAAAGCGUAGUCGAUGGGAAACGGGUUAAUAUUCCCGUACUGGUGGUAACUGCGAUGGGGGAACGGAGAAGGCUAGGUUGUCCGGGCGACGGUCGUCCCGGUUCAAGCAGGUAGGCAGAGUGAUUAGGCAAAUCCGGUCACUUAAUGCUGAGAUGUGAUGACGAACCACCAAGGUGGUGAAGCAAUUGAUGCCCCGCUUCCAGGAAAAGCCUCUAAGCUUCAGGUUACCAACAAUCGUACCCCAAACCGACACAGGUGGUCAGGUAGAGAAUACUCAGGCGCUUGAGAGAACUCGGGUGAAGGAACUAGGCAAAAUGGUGCCGUAACUUCGGGAGAAGGCACGCUGGCGGUAGGUAAAGUCCCUCGCGGACGGCGCUGAAGCCAGUCGAAGAUACCAGCUGGCUGCAACUGUUUAUUAAAAACACAGCACUGUGCAAACACGAAAGUGGACGUAUACGGUGUGACGCCUGCCCGGUGCUGGAAGGUUAAUUGAUGGGGUUAGCGUAAGCGAAGCUCCUGAUCGAAGCCCCAGUAAACGGCGGCCGUAACUAUAACGGUCCUAAGGUAGCGAAAUUCCUUGUCGGGUAAGUUCCGACCUGCACGAAUGGCGUAAUGAUGGCCAGGCUGUCUCCACCCGAGACUCAGUGAAAUUGAACUCGCUGUGAAGAUGCAGUGUACCCGCGGCAAGACGGAAAGACCCCGUGAACCUUUACUAUAGCUUGACACUGAACAUUGAGCCUUGAUGUGUAGGAUAGGUGGGAGGCUUUGAAGUGUGGACGCCAGUCUGCAUGGAGCCAACCUUGAAAUACCACCCUUUAACGUUUGAUGUUCUAACCUAGGCCCAUAAACUGGGUCGGGGACCGUGUCUGGUGGGUAGUUUGACUGGGGCGGUCUCCUCCUAAAGAGUAACGGAGGAGCACGAAGGUUGGCUAAGCAUGGUCGGACAUCAUGCGGUUAGUGCAAAGGCAUAAGCCAGCUUGACUGCGAGAGUGACGGCUCGAGCAGGUACGAAAGUAGGUCUUAGUGAUCCGGUGGUUCUGAAUGGAAGGGCCAUCGCUCAACGGAUAAAAGGUACUCCGGGGAUAACAGGCUGAUACCGCCCAAGAGUUCAUAUCGACGGCGGUGUUUGGCACCUCGAUGUCGGCUCAUCACAUCCUGGGGCUGAAGUAGGUCCCAAGGGUAUGGCUGUUCGCCAUUUAAAGUGGUACGCGAGCUGGGUUUAGAACGUCGUGAGACAGUUCGGUCCCUAUCUGCCGUGGGCGUUGGAAGAUUGAGAGGGGUUGCUCCUAGUACGAGAGGACCGGAGUGAACGCACCACUGGUGUUCGGGUUGUCAUGCCAAUGGCAUUGCCCGGUAGCUAAGUGCGGAAGAGAUAACCGCUGAAAGCAUCUAAGCGGGAAACUUGCCUCGAGAUGAGUCUUCCCUGUCGCUUUAAGCGACCUAAAGGAACGUUUAAGACUAAGACGUUGAUAGGCUGGGUGUGUAAGCGUAGCGAUACGUUGAGCUAACCAGUACUAAUGAACCGUGAGGCUUAACCUG
rnacentral:rRNA from 1 species